AGCUGGCGGGACCGUUAGCUCGAGGCGGACGCGGCCCGGGCCCCGUAGGGAUGGAGCAGUCGCCGCCGCCGGCGCCCGAGCCGACCCAAGGGCCGACCCCAGCAAGGAGCCGAAGGCGGCGGGAGCCCGAGUCGCCGCCGGCGUCGGCGCCGAUUCCUCUCUUUGGUGCUAACACUUUUGGCCAGAGGAGUCCUGAUGGACCGGUACUGAGCAAAGCUGAAUUUGUUGAGAAAGUUCGUCAGAGUAAUCAGGCCUGUCACAAUGGAGAUUUCCACACAGCUAUUGUUCUGUAUAAUGAAGCCCUGGCUGUUGACCCUCAGAACUGCAUCUUAUACAGCAAUAGAUCUGCAGCCUACAUGAAAAUCCAGCAGUAUGACAAGGCACUGGAUGAUGCAAUCAAAGCUCGACUUCUCAAUCCCAAAUGGCCAAAGACCCCACUGCAUAUGCCAUGUAUAGUGGCUAGCUGGUAUCCCACGCUUAUGUGAGAAGGGCUAAAUGAAGAGAUGCUGAGGCCCUUCAAACCCCACAGAGACUGUGAAACAGUGUUUUGGUGGUCUAUAGGAGAGGUUCAACUUGGCAAAUGUAGUG
rnacentral:lncRNA from 1 species